GCCUUGUCGCCAGCACACGCCGUUUUCGAGUAGUGACCCGUGAUUUGUUUUCAUAUCAUCACGAUGAGGAUAAUAAACGAACGACUGAACGAUGAAGAAAUAAGACCCUUUCCUAAAGCGGCGCCACGUUUAGAUAAUAGAAGAAAUACUCGGAAACGUAAAAGAACUAUACAGGGUGUCACAGAAUGGAGGUAGCUUUACUAAUGUACUAUCCCAAAAAAAUAUGAAAAAAAAAAAUUGAGUUCGGAUUUUUUUUUUUAAAUAUAGUGCUCUAAACUCCAAAUCUAGUCAUUAUUUUCAAAAGUUUGUUUACAAUUAAAUGAAGCGAUCAUGUACAAUUAAUAUUAGUAACAAAAAAGUACAAAUAAACUCCAAACGCAGCAAUUAUAGCCAGAUACUUAGGCAAAGCUGAUUUAUUUUCACUUUAAAAAAAAUUGUGUCCUUAUGCGCUAUAUUUUUUUUUUCAUAUUUUUUUAGGGAUAGUACAUUAGUAGAGCUACCUCCUCUAUCAGUUUGAUUCACCCAUCUGGGACACCCUGUAUACAAAGAUUGAUAUGUGAUUUAAAAUGAGACUGAAGAAGAUUUUAGUUUAAAAAGUUUAAAUACUAAGAGUUGAUAGUUUUUUUUAAAGACUUAUUAAAAAUGUCUGUACUUGAUUAUAAUUGUUUUUGAAUAAAGAGUUCAAUUAAAUUGAAA